rnacentral:rRNA from 1 species
AUUGAACGCUGGCGGCAUGCUUUACACAUGCAAGUCGAACGGUAACAGGCCUUCGGGUGCUGACGAGUGGCGAACGGGUGAGUAAUGCAUCGGAACGUACCCAGAGGUGGGGGAUAACGCAGCGAAAGCUGUGCUAAUACCGCAUGUGAUCUGAGGAUGAAAGCGGGGGACCGAGCAGCAAUGUUUGGCCUCGCGCCUUUGGAGCGGCCGAUGUCGGAUUAGCUAGUUGGUGGGGUAAAGGCCUACCAAGGCGACGAUCCGUAGCUGGUCUGAGAGGACGACCAGCCACACUGGGAAUGAGACACGGCCCAGACUCCUACGGGAGGCAGCAGUGGGGAAUUUUGGACAAAGGGCGCAAGCCUGAUCCAGCAAUGCCGCGUGCGGGAAGAAGGCCUUCGGGUUGUAAACCGCUUUUGGCAGGAACGAAACGGUGUCCGCUAAUACCGGGCGCUAAUGACGGUACCUGCAGAAUAAGCACCGGCUAACUACGUG